UCGGCGUGGAGGGGGGCAUCAAGGUCCGG
rnacentral:sRNA from 1 species